GGUCGCGUCAACUGUGUUUACGAGUGUCUUGUGUUCAGAUUGUUUUAAGUGAUAAUUUAACAAUAUUUUUCCAAAUAAAUGGAAAGAAACUUUUAUUUAUAUCAAAUAAUUGAGUGUCUCGACUGUGUGACAUUAUGUCUUGUGUGGUAUGGGGCUGCAGCUCACAUUCAGGAAGAAAAGAAAAUAGCCAACAACUUCUGUCGUUUCAUCGAUAUUAAAUCCAAAAGUGUCGACUGGAUUUACAUGAAAAGUCAGUUCAAGAAGACGAGAUGAAAAAUUUAAAAGAAAAGCUGAACAAGUCCCGCCUCAAGAUCAAACGACUUAAUGAAAAAAAAAAACAAUGUGACAGGGUGUCACAAAGACAGUUUCUAAGCAAAUUGACACUGUUUAGAAAUUAAUAAAUUUGUAUUUAUUGUAAAUAUAAUGUACAUAAUUAAUAACGUGUGAAAUAAAUACUUGCUAAUGAAAAUGAACAGAUUUACGAUCUAAUUUAUAUUUCAUUUUACCUCCUGUUCUUAUUUACUCCUACUCCAACACUCCAGGUUGAUACGA
rnacentral:lncRNA from 1 species